rnacentral:tRNA from 1 species
GAGAGAUGGCCGAGCGGUUGAAGGCACCGGUCUUGAAAACCGGCGACGCGCGAGCGUUCGUGGGUUCGAAUCCCACUCUCUCC